GAUGAACGCUGGCGGUAUGCCUUACACAUGCAAGUCGUACGGGAGUUUUUAACUCAAGUGGCGGACGGGUGAGUAACACGUAAGAAUUUACCUCUAGGAGGGGGACAACAACUGGAAACGGUUGCUAAUACCCCAUAUGCUUUCAAAUAGUGAAAUGGAUUUUUCCGCCUAGAGAGAAGCUUGCGGCUGAUUAGCUUGUUGGUGAGGUAAUGGCUCACCAAGGCGACGAUCAGUAUCUGGUUUGAGAGGACGAUCAGACACACUGGAACUGAGACACGGUCCAG
rnacentral:rRNA from 1 species